rnacentral:lncRNA from 1 species
GAUUGCGCCGCUUCUGCUUUCUGAUGAGCUGGGGGAGAGGCAUCCCGGGCAGCUUCUGGCUCGCCUUGCCAGAUGAUGGCAGAGUCCGCCCUGCCUGUCCCCAGCCUAGACGCCUAGCUGCACCAGGCAGGGCAUCGCUUUUGACGAUGGAAUGUGAUGUAGUGAGUGCUGCGGGUUGACUCGUGACCUAGGCUUUGAAGGAACUGCAGCUCAGGACAUGUAAAACUGUUUAGAUGGGAACCCUGGCCUUUCUCAGCUCUAUCGAGAGGCCCCGCCCCGCUAUCGUCUCAGCCAAAGUCACAACCCACUAUUGUGCAAGGGCCGCCUGGGAACACACAAGGUGCAGUCUGCCCUUCCCGGAUCGUGCCACCUUUCUCCCGUGGUUUAGGGCAAUAGUAAUAGAGGACAGGCGAAGAACACCUUCAGGGUCAACUGUGUGUGACAGGUCACAGUCCAUCCCUGAGGCAAGUCAGAGAGCAGGAAGAGCUCC